CUGAUCACUUCACCACCUGUUCCUCAUCUACCAAUGAGCCCUGCUUAGUUUACCUUGUGGUAACGGCGCUAAAGCCAACUCCGCUUUAACUUUGCUCUGUUGAGUAAUCGUGAUCUCCUCGUGCUCAAGGAAAACCCUCUCUGCCACGUCCAGUUCUGUUUUAUCUCUCCCUCUGCACAGUUGGAUUCCAGCCACCACCAGCCCUGCACCACCCUGGACACCCCAUCACUGGCUCCCACCCACCAAAAGAGCUGCGUGUUUUUGAAUCGUCUUCCUCUUGGAGUACAGCCACUCAUCUGGUUAGACUGCUGCAGCUGUUUCUGAAGGAGAGCGGGGGGGAAGACUCGUCUAUCAUCUCUACUACUACACAUCCAAUUUAACUGAUGUGGAGGUGACACAUGCAGGAAUGUCUAUUAAUUUUGUGAUUUUAAAUGCGUCACUCGCAUUCUUCUGUGGAUUGGUAAAAGGGCAGUGGAUUUCACGUUGGAAGCGGACAGUGAUGUGUUUUUCCACGGGCACGUGCAGGACGUCCAGGAAAUGUCUGGCUGCAGCUGCAGUAACAACACAAGCGCGGCUUGUGGCCUCUCCGCUCUGCAGCAGCCCGUGCAGGGCCACGACUGUUUUUCAAAACCUGCCCAGAUCUUCUCCACAUGUACACGCUGUGAUGUUUGAUGUGAAUGGCUGUCAUUUCUGCUAUCUUUGCAAAAAAAAAAAAAAACAUCUAUAGGAGGGAAGCGGUGCUGCUGCUAUAAGUGGCAGCUAGCUGUGGGUGAUGAUCUGUAGAAAAUGAAAAAGAAACAUUCUGAGUGUGUAGCUGUCUGCUUCAUAUCAGCUUUUCUGGGUUUUUAUUUUCACAGAAUGUUGUUUACUGACCUUUUUCAAACUGGAUUCAGUCUAUUAUCACACUAAAAUGUGUUUUAAGAGUCAAAAAGCAGUUGAUUAAAGCUCCACUUGGCAAAUGAACAGCAGUAAUUUGACAAAAAAAUACCCAGAACGUAUUAAUGCGACUUAUGUCCAGUGUAUCAGAUUUAAGGGGCCCUAUUUACGGAAUAUAAUAUGCACAACUAUGUUUUCAUUAGUGUAUAAUCACCUUAAAGUAUGAAUUUGUGUUAUGUUUUUGUUACCUUAAGAAAAAAAGAAUGAAUGAAACAAACCCACUUAUAGCUAAAUAUAUAAAAAUAAUUCAGAAUUAUAAAAACCUGUGUAUAAGUCUGUGUCUUGUCAGCAUAAUUAUGGGGUGAUUUUAUAUAAACUAUUUUGUUAUGGUCAGGUGAGCGUCGUGGUUUAGGUUUAAACGGCCGCUUUGUCGUCAUGGUCACAAUAAUAAAUACAUGGUUAAGGUACGGGAACGAAUGCAGUCAUGCUUUUUAUUUAAAAAAAGUUGAAAACAGGAAAUGAACAGAGCUCUCUUGUGUUAAAGUUUGAUGUUCUGGUGACCCAUCCAACCCCUUGAAAGACUAUUACUGUUGUUGUUCUUGCGAGGACAGUCAUUCCUUUCUGCCCUUCUAUCACAGUAAAUGAAUGAAGACACGAGGAUUGCAAUAUAUAAAU